rnacentral:lncRNA from 1 species
GCCUGGGCUCCCUGAAAUCAUUCCUUUGAUAGGCACCUCUGCUCUCAGGGCCAGUAGCCUGAGUCUUCACAGCCUGCAGGACUCACCUGCUCUCACCCUGGCAGGCGACUGCAUGCACAGAUGACCAUGACAUUCUUUGUUUUAUCCUUAACGAGAGAGAGCCCAGGCUUCAGAGAGCUCUGAAAUGUCACCCAAAGAGGAAAGGGGGGAAAUCCAGGUAUGAUAAAGGGGAGGGAGGUGCAGCAGCCAGGCACACAUUUUACAAAAGUUUGUUGCUCAUCUCCUGAAGGUCACUACCAGUCACAAGGAGCAGACAUCACCAGGAAGGAUUUCAGUGUUUUUCUAGGUAUGAGGAGAUGUGGGAAUUGGGCACAUAAAGUGUCCUCCUAAAAAUAUCUGACUAUCUGAAGACCUGUUCUUCCAGUUUUCCCAGAGCACAGAGACCCUCACUCCUGAUGUUCACCCUGAGCUCUGAUCAGGGGAUGCUGUGGGUCGGCAGCUGCAGUGGCUCAUGAUUUAAUCCAUGUAGAGGCUGAUGGCAAGUGCCCAACUUCAGUUCAUAGAGGAACUGGCACUUGCUGUCCUGCCAUAAACAGCUAGAAAACUGUUUUGAGACACUGGAGGAUAAGCAAUAUAGAGCUGAUAGCUUAGUGGAAAGAGAAACAAAGAAAGCCAGCCAUUACUCUGGCUUUCUGCCUGGAGGCAUUUUCAGGACAGCAUUCAGGCAGGAGACACUUGAGAAGAUCAUGGUCUCACUGAGUUGAGGAAACAGAUCAGAGCCUAUAUGGGUUGAGGUGACUUGAAUUUGCAGUGUGAAGUACCAGAGGGGAGAGGGGUUUGUAGAAAAAGAGUUCCAGGUAUAUGCAUGAGGUCAUCUUUGCACUGUGGAAUUCUAAGUAGGUCACGCAAAAGAGUAAAAUUCUGUGUGGCUGAGAAAAAGAACAGCAUGGGAUUUGUAUGCUAUCACACAGAGCUGGGAGGUGUUCAGCUUUCAACCAGUCAGAGUUGAGUAAACAACUGGAAUGUUCAGUAGAGUUCCCUGAAAGGUCACAGUUUAGUAGAGGAGGGAAACUACCCCUGAAGUAAAAGCAGUGCCAGAUUUGCCCUAAUACAGCUUUAAAACCUCCAAAAAAAAAAAAAAAAA